UACGGAGGGUGCGAGCGUUAAUCGGAAUUUACUGGGCGUAAAAGCGCAUGCAGGCGGCCUGUUAAGUCAGAUGUGAAAGCCCGGGGCUUAACCUCGGAAUUGCAUUUGAAACUGGCAGGCUAGAGUCUUGUAGAGGGGGUAGAAUUUCAGGUGUAGCGGUGAAAUGCGUAGAGAUCUGAAGGAAUACCAGUGGCGAAGGCGGCCCCCUGGACAAAGACUGACGCUCAGAUGCGAAAGCGUGGGGAGCAAACAGGAUUAGAUACCCUGGUAG
rnacentral:rRNA from 1 species